rnacentral:rRNA from 1 species
GCAGUCGACGAGAGGACAUGGGAAGCUUGCUUCCUAUGAAAUCGAGUGGCAAACGGGUGAGUAACGCGUAAACAACCUGCCCUUCGGAUGGGGAUAACAGCCGGAAACGGCUGCUAAUACCGAAUACGAUCUUUUCGUCGCAUGACGGAAAGAAGAAAGGAUGGCCUCUAUACAAAGCUAUCGCCGAAGGAGGGGUUUGCGUCUGAUUAGCUGGUUGGAGGGGUAACGGCCCAACAAGGCGAUGAUCAGUAGCCGGUCUGAGAGGAUGAACGGCCACAUUGGGACUGAGACACGGCCCAGACUCCUACGGGAGGCAGCAGUGGGGAAUCUUCCGCAAUGGACGAAAGUCUGACGGAGCAACGCCGCGUGAGUGAAGAAGGUCUUCGGAUUGUAAAGCUCUGUUAUACGGGACGAAAAAGACGGAUGCCAACAGUAUCCGUCCGUGACGGUACCGUAAGAGAAAGCCACGGCUAACUACGUGCCAGCAGCCGCGGUAAUACGUAGGUGGCAAGCGUUGUCCGGAAUUAUUGGGCGUAAAGGGCGCGCAGGCGGUUCGGUAAGUCUGUCUUAAAAGUGCGGGGCUUAACCCCGUGAGGGGACGGAAACUGUCGAACUUGAGUGUCGGAGAGGAAAGCGGAAUUCCUAGUGUAGCGGUGAAAUGCGUAGAUAUUAGGAGGAACACCGGUGGCGAAAGCGGCUUUCUGGACGACAACUGACGCUGAGGCGCGAAAGCGUGGGGAGCA